GAAAUUUACGAUGAGGAUAAAAAGCUCCCUCUUCUGAAUUCAAAUUUGAGGACGCUUUGCUGGCAGAAUCGAACCUAAAACUUAAAAUUGCCACUGAGUAA
rnacentral:snoRNA from 1 species